AAAAUCUUCAAAAUUUUCUAAAGAAAUCCAUAAGAAUCUUUAAAAAAUCUUUAUAAAAUUCUAAGGAAAUUCUUACAAACCUUAAAAAAAUUCUACUGAAAUCUAAAAGAAUCUUCAAGAAAUCAUAAAGAAAUCUUAAAGAAAUCCAAAAAUAUCUUAAAAAAAUCCUAAAGAUUUUUUUAAAAAUACUAAAUCUUAAAUUAACCCUAAUUAAAUCCUAAAAAAAUUCUAACUAAAAUCUAACCAAUUUAAAUCAAUCCUAAAGUAGUUUAGAACCUCAAUAUCUAUUGAUUAAACUAUUGAUCUUACUUAAAAUUUUAUAAAUCUUUCAAUCUCUUAGUUAACAAUAAAUACAACAAAUUUGAAGAAAAUUGAACUUAUUAAAUGAGAGAAAAAUAUCAUAAUCCACUUAGAUGUUGGCCAGCUUCCAUCUUUGAUCUUAAUAUUAAUCUUUGAACAAUAAUAAUUCUUAAUCGAACCAUAAACUUGCUCUUAAAUUUUAUAUAAGUAUUGAAAUUUAAGUCAACUAUUAGCUUUAAUAAAAAAUCACCUCAAUCUAAUUCGUAAAUUAUUGCAAAUCUUAAAUAACCAUAUUGGACAUAAAAAUCUAAUUUUUAAGGCUCUAAUCCACUUAAACUUCAAUUACCUCCAAUCCAACCAUUUAAUUAAGCUCAAAUUUAUAAAAUAUGUUAAGCACAUUUAUAU
rnacentral:lncRNA from 1 species